rnacentral:misc_RNA from 1 species
AAUUCUCAAAACCCCUUUUCUUCUGAAAAAGGUUUUUUGGACUUGGAGGUUCAAUGCUCGCUUUCACUUUUGAAGGUGAGCUCCUCUCAAAUGAAUUAGUGGGGUCUGCUUUGUCGAUCCUUGACGUGAUAAAAUGUUUCUACGUUUUGGAUUUGGCACUGUCUCUUGGACACCUGCUACUAACUGUCUCAUGGACAAAUGAUGGUGCUUCGGUCACCGCCAUUGGCGGGAGGCUGGGCCCACGGAAAAACCC